CUGCAAUCUGAGACGUUACCUUUCUGUCUAAAGUUAUCUCUAGGAAGAUUAUUAAGUAUAUGGCUCAAGAUUCACUAAGUUUAAUUAAGGUGACCAUUUUAGCAUUUCAAAUAAGACUUUGAUUCAUCCUGCUUCUUGGAAGGAUAUUUGCAGACAACUGAAAAACUGAAAAAGGGUGUCUAUUGAGGUUGUCUAAGAAAAUUUCCAACCACAAACUGUUUGGAACCGAAGAAGACUAUGAAACAUGAAACCGAGCACUACGUGUUUUCUUCGUUUGAUUGUCCUUCACUUCAUUGUUCAUAUAGUCUGAGUUUUUUGUACAGUGUGUUUGUUCUAUUGCCUUUAUACACUCUUCACCA